rnacentral:rRNA from 1 species
AUUGAACGCUGGCGGCAGGCCUAACACAUGCAAGUCGAACGAGUGGCGGACGGGUGAGUUGUGUAUGGGAAACUGCCUGAGGGAGGGGGAUACCUACUGGAAACGGUAGCUAAUACCGCAAACCAUCGGAUGUGCACAGAGGGGAUUAUCUAGUGGGUGGGGUAAAGGCUCACCUAGGCGACGAUCCCUAGCUGGUAUGCGAGGAUGACCAGCCACACUGGAACUGAGCCACGGUCCAGACUCCUACGGGAGGCAGCAGUGGGGAAUAUUGCACAAUGGGCGCAAGCCUGAUGCAGCCAUGCCGCGUGUAUGAAGAAGGCCUUCGGGUUGUAAAGUACUUUCAGCGGGGAGGCGUUACCCGCAGAAGAAGCACCGGCUAACUCCGUGCCAGCAGCCGCGGUAAUAC